rnacentral:rRNA from 1 species
UACGUAGGCAGCAAGCGUUGUUCGGAAUUACUGGGCGUAAAGAGUGUGUAGGCGGUGCUCCAAGUCUGGUGUGAAUCUCCCGGCUCAACUGGGAGGGUGCGCUAGAAACUGGAAUGCUAGAGGAUGGGAGAGGGUAAGCGGAAUUCCUGGUGUAGCGGUGAAAUGCGUAGAUAUCAGGAGGAACACCUGUGGUGUAGACAGCUUACUGGACCAUUUCUGACGCUGAGACACGAAAGCGUGGGUAGCAAACAGG